rnacentral:tRNA from 10 species
GCCAAGGUGGCCGAGCGGUCUAAGGCGCCAGACUCAAGUUCUGGUAUCGAAAGAUGCUUGGGUUCGAAUCCCAACCUUGGCA